CGGGUGAGUAACACGUAUCCAACCUGCCGUCUACUCUUGGCCAGCCUUCUGAAAGGAAGAUUAAUCCAGGAUGGCAUCAUGAGUUCACAUGUCCGCAUGAUUAAAGGUAUUUUCCGGUAGACGAUGGGGAUGCGUUCCAUUAGAUAGUAGGCGGGGUAACGGCCCACCAAAGCGACGAUCAGUAGCCGGCCUGAGAGGGUGAACGGCCACAUUGGGACUGAGACACGGCCCAA
rnacentral:rRNA from 1 species